UAUAUAUUCACUCAAUAAUGGAACGAAAUAAAAGUAUAGUAUACGAGUAUGUCAACCAAACAGAUAAUUUUGAGUUGGCUCCAUUUCAUUAUGCAAUCUUCGGCGGAGCUUUGUUUGGGGUUGUAGUAACUGCUGCUUUGGUUCUCUUUUUGUGCAAAAGAUGCUGCCAUUCGGACCUACAAAACGAUGAUUUGGCAGCAAUUAUUGUAGACAACGAGAAAAAAGAAAAACAAGAAGACAGUAAAAAACGGUUGAACUCAUCCAAUCUAGUGAUUUCCUCGUCCUUCCAGCAACCAAAUCGGCGCCCUAAUAACUCGUUUUUGAAAUACACACAAGAAACGGACAAAAAACAGGAAAACAAAUGGCAAAAACCUGUUUCUGAAGCUGUUCAACAACCACAGGCUACAUAUAAUAAAAACAAUGCCAACAGACGAAUCAAUGGUCCAGACGACAGUUAUGAGGGCAGUGUCCAGUGCUCCAUCUACCCUCAACCAAAAGCCGUUUACAAGUCUGCAGCUACGCCGAUUCAGGAGCAAGAUCGUAUUUCGAGAGCACCUCUGAGAGACAUAUGCGCAAAGAACCAGAACCAAUUGCAAAGACUCAGUUCUGUCCCACAAGCCCGACUUGCGUCCGAGAACAAAAACUAUUUUGAAAAACGAAACAAUGGCCGAGUGGAUGGUUUGGUGGGCUAUCUUCAGAGUGACUUCUACGCAAAGUCAAGUGUUUCUGAUAACUCGGCAUAUACGCUGUUUCAGCAGCAAGAUCGGCAUUCAAGGGCGCCUUUACGAGACAUACCCGCUAACAACCAGAAACAGUGGCAGCGAUCCAUCUCUGUUCCAAGGUCGCAAUUUAUAUCCGUAAGUCUGAUAGA